GUGUCAGCAGCCGCGGUAAUACAGAGAGUGCGAACGUUGUUCGGAAUCACUGGGCAUAAAGCGCACGUAGGCGGCCUUUCAAGUGUGGAGUGAAAUCCCACGGCUUACCCGUGGAACUGCUUCGCAUACUGUUUGGCUCGAGGAUGGUAGAGGAGAGCGGAACUCCUGGUGGAGCGGUGAAAUGCGUAGAUAUCAGGAGGAACACCGGUGGCGAAGGCGGCUCUCUGGUCCAUUUCUGACGCUGAGGUGCGAAAGCUAGGGUAGCGAACGGGAUUAGAAACCCCAGUAGUCC
rnacentral:rRNA from 1 species